rnacentral:rRNA from 1 species
GGUUAAGUUAGAAAGGGCGCACGGUGGAUGCCUUGGCACUAGGAGCCGAAGAAGGACGGGACUAACACCGAUAUGCUUUGGGGAGCUGUACGUAAGCGUUGAUCCAGAGAUUUCCGAAUGGGGGAACCCACUAUCUUUAGUCGGAUAGUAUCCUUACGUGAAUACAUAGCGUGAGGAAGGCAGACCCAGGGAACUGAAACAUCUAAGUACCUGGAGGAAGAGAAAGAAAAAUCGAUUUCCUGAGUAGCGGCGAGCGAAACGGAAAGAGCCCAAACCAAGAAGCUUGCUUCUUGGGGUUGUAGGACACUCUAUACGGAGUUACAAAAGAAAGUUAUAAAUGAAGCGGUCUGGAAAGGCCCGCCAAAGACGGUAACAGCCCGGUAGUUGAAAUGGCUUUCCCUCCAGAGUGGAUCCUGAGUACGGCGGAACACGUGAAAUUCCGUCGGAAUCCGGGAGGACCAUCUCCCAAGGCUAAAUACUCCCUAGUGACCGAUAGUGAACCAGUACCGUGAGGGAAAGGUGAAAAGCACCCCGGAAGGGGAGUGAAACAGUUCCUGAAACCGUGUGCCUACAAGUAGUUAGAGCCCGUUAAUGGGUGAUAGCGUGCCUUUUGUAGAAUGAACCGGCGAGUUACGAUUUGUUGCAAGGUUAAGCGGAAAAAGCGGAGCCGUAGCGAAAGCGAGUCUGAAUAGGGCGCAUAAGUAACAGGUCGUAGACCCGAAACCAGGUGAUCUACCCAUGUCCAGGAUGAAGGUAAGGUAAUACUUACUGGAGGUCCGAACCCACGCACGUUGAAAAGUGCGGGGAUGAGGUGUGGGUAGCGGAGAAAUUCCAAUCGAACUUGGAGAUAGCU